rnacentral:rRNA from 1 species
UUAUGAGAAUAAGGAAGUUCAAAAGUUAAGUGACGAUAGCCUAGGAGAUACACCUGUACCCAUGCCGAACACAGUAGUUAAGCCCUAGAACGCCUGAAGUAGUUGGGGGUUGCCCCCUGUUAGAUACGGUAGUUGCUUAGCAUUUAUCCGCCAUAGCUCAGUUGGUAGUAGCGCAUGACUGUUAAUCAUGAUGUCGUAGGUUCGAGUCCUACUGGCGGAGUUUGGCUCUAUGUCAACUAUAGUGGGUUGACUAACAACGGACAUUUAGAGAGGAUCAGUUUGGUGCUCUCUUUUUUGUGUACUCAAAAAGCUCUAUGAUUUCCACAGUGGACUUACCUAUUCCAGAUGGUAUAGAGCCUUGCUUUUUAGGGGAUAGUAUGGUAGGAUAGUAAUAGUUAAGAAAAGCACCCUUAGCUCAACUGGAUAGAGUACCUGACUACGAAUCAGGCGGUUAGAGGUUCGACUCCUCUAGGGUGCAUAGCAAGGCAACAGGACAUUUCUGUCCUGUUGUUUUUUUGUUUGUCUCCUUAUAAUAAGGCUACUAAGCAUGAAAAGGAGAAAGUAUAAUGACUGAUGAUUUAGUGAGGUUGUUUGAUAAGAUCAAGCCUAUUAUUAUGAAGCUAAGACAGCAUUAUUAUAUUCAGCUGUGGGAGCUAGAUGAUUGGUUACAGGAGGGGCGGUUGAUCUUGUAUCGGUUAUUGGUCACUUAUCCAGAAUUGAUAGAGGAUGAGGAGAAGCUAUAUCGUUAUUUUAAGACCAAGUUUUCCUCUUAUUUGAAGGACGUGUUGCGGCAGCAGGAGAGUCAGAAGCGUCGGUUUCAUAAGAUGGCUUAUGAGGAGAUUGGGUCGGUAGGCCAUGCGAUACCAGCAGGUGGUUUGGGAGUAGAUGAUUAUGUGGCUUAUCAGUUGAUUGUGAAGGAGGUUGAGGAGCGAUUGACAGAGGGUGAGCUGUCGCAGUUUCGGGCUUUGAUCAGGGGAGAGCGGUUUGAGGGGAGACGGGCCUUGCUUCGCAAGAUAGGACCUUACUUUCAGGACUUUACUGGUGAGAAAUAAAAGGGGUUACCGGAACGAGAUUGAAAGNAGCGAAGUUAGAGACGUCACACUGCCAAGAAAAGCUUCUAGCGAUACGUAUACUCUACCCGUACCGCAAACCGACACAGGUAGUCGAGGCGAGUAGCCUCAGGUGAUCGAGAGAACUCUCGUUAAGGAACUCGGCAAAAUGGCCCCGUAACUUCGGGAGAAGGGGCGCUGACUGAAGGUCAGCCGCAGUGAAUAGGCCCAAGCAACUGUUUAUCAAAAACACAGCUCUCUGCUAAAUCGUAAGAUGAUGUAUAGGGGGUGACGCCUGCCCGGUGCUGGAAGGUUAAGAGGAGUGCUUAGCGCAAGCGAAGGUAUGAAUUGAAGCCCCAGUAAACGGCGGCCGUAACUAUAACGGUCCUAAGGUAGCGAAAUUCCUUGUCGGGUAAGUUCCGACCCGCACGAAAGGCGUAAUGAUUUGGGCACUGUCUCAACGAGAGACUCGGUGAAAUUUUAGUACCUGUGAAGAUGCAGGUUACCCGCGACAGGACGGAAAGACCCCAUGGAGCUUUACUGCAGUUUGAUAUUGAGUAUCUGUACCACAUGUACAGGAUAGGUAGGAGCCAUAGAAGUCGGGACGCCAGUUUCGAUGGAGGCGAUGUUGGGAUACUACCCUUGUGUUAUGGCUACUCUAACCCGGAUAGGUGAUCCCUAUCGGAGACAGUGUCUGACGGGCAGUUUGACUGGGGCGGUCGCCUCCUAAAAUGUAACGGAGGCGCCCAAAGGUUCCCUCAGAUUGGUUGGAAAUCAAUCGCAGAGUGUAAAGGUAUAAGGGAGCUUGACUGCGAGAGCAACACCUCGAGCAGGGACGAAAGUCGGGCUUAGUGAUCCGGUGGUACCGUAUGGAAGGGCCAUCGCUCAACGGAUAAAAGCUACCCUGGGGAUAACAGGCUUAUCUCCCCCAAGAGUUCACAUCGACGGGGAGGUUUGGCACCUCGAUGUCGGCUCGUCGCAUCCUGGGGCUGUAGUCGGUCCCAAGGGUUGGGCUGUUCGCCCAUUAAAGCGGCACGCGAGCUGGGUUCAGAACGUCGUGAGACAGUUCGGUCCCUAUCCGUCGCGGGCGUAGGAAAUUUGAGAGGAUCUGCUCCUAGUACGAGAGGACCAGAGUGGACUUACCGCUGGUGUACCAGUUGUCUCGCCAGAGGCAUAGCUGGGUAGCUAUGUAGGGAAGGGAUAAGCGCUGAAAGCAUCUAAGUGCGAAGCCCUCCUCAAGAUGAGAUUUCCCAUAACGUUAAGUUAGUAAGAGCCCUGAGAGAUGAUCAGGUAGAUAGGUUAGGAGUGGACGUGUGGUGACACAUGGAGCGGACUAAUACUAAUAGCUCGAGGACUUAUCCAA